rnacentral:tRNA from 1 species
GGAGACGUGGCCGAGUGGUUUAAGGCGCACGCCUGGAAAGUGUGUUGAGGUGGAAGCCUCUCGAGGGUUCGAAUCCCUCCGUCUCUGCCA